rnacentral:rRNA from 1 species
GAUGAACGCUGGCGGCGUGCUUAACACAUGCAAGUCGAACGAUGAAGCCCAGCUUGCUGGGUGGAUUAGUGGCGAACGGGUGAGUAACACGUGAGUAACCUGCCCUUAACUCUGGGAUAAGCCUGGGAAACUAGGUCUAAUACCGGAUAGGAGCGUCCACCGCAUGGUGGGUGUUGGAAAGGUCUAUCGGUUUUGGAUGGACGCGCGGCCUAUCAGCUUGUUGGUGAGGUAAUGGCUCACCAAGGCGACGGCGGGUAGCCGGCCUGGGAGGGUGACCGGCCACACUGGGACUGGGACACGGCCCCGACUCCUACGGGAGGCAGCAGUGGGGAAUAUUGCACAAUGGGCGCAAGCCUGAUGCAGCGACGCCGCGUGAGGGAUGACGGCCUUCGGGUUGUAAACCUCUUUCAGUAGGGAAGAAGCGAAAGUGACGGUACCUGCAGAAGAAGCACCGGCUAACUACGUGCCAGCAGCCGCCGUAAAAC